rnacentral:pre_miRNA from 1 species
GCUUUCUCUUCCCAGAUUUCCCAAAGUUGGGAAAAGCUGGGUUGAGAGGGCAA